GUGAAAAACAAAUAUACUUUAUUGUAUUUCAAGUAUAUUUAACUUUGCAAUAGUACAUUACAAAUAUACUUACAAAGGAAUGUACUUUCUUUAAACAUAUUUAAAGUAUGCUUACAACAUAUUUGCGCGUAUUUUUUACAAUUAAACUUUUAACAUACUUUAAAAUAAUUGUACUUUAGUAUAUUUUCUAAAAGUAUACUUUAGAAAAAUAUACUUAAAGUUAAAGUUUUGUGCAAUUUUUAAAGUAUACUAAAUUUAAACUUAUUUUAAAAUGUAUUUUAGGUAUACUUUAUCGGUAUGCUUAAAGUUAUCAUUAUAAUAAUGCACUGACAGUAUAUUUCUAAAAUACAUUAUUUAGUAUUCUUUAGAAACAGUAUAUUUUAAGCACAUUUUGAAAGUAUGGGGUGUACAAAUGUAUAUUAUUUUAUGGAGAAAUAACGUGGGCUUAAAAUUACGAGAGAGCAGUAUGUUCAGUUACAUUUUAUAUUGUAGAUGUAUACAUUUGUAAUAUACUAUUAACAUAAUAAGGUACACUUUAACUUCACUAUAGUCAAGCAUUGGAUAAACCAAUUAACUGUGUUUUACCACAAAAUAACCAUGGUUUUGCUAAUAAUAAUCAAUACACCAAAAAAACAUGGUUACUAAACUUUUACCACAAAAAAAACAUUCAUUUUCGUAAGGGGAAUAUGAGUGUUUGUUUUUUUGUAGUUUUUGAGUCAAUUGCAUACUGCUUUUAGCUGUACACAUUGAUUAACUUAAACAGUUUUCGUAAAUGCAUUUCAGAGAAAAGUGAAUUCUGAGAUUUGAAUAAUGCAUCUGACGUGUGGGAUGACGUCACGACGCACGUAUUUUGAUUUUUACCAGUCGUUCAAGGCGGACGGAUUCAGUCCCAAGAAGCUAAAGUUUUUCAAAGACAUUUGUAGGGAGGACUUUGCAGCUAAUGAUUUCCUUAGGCUGAACCAAAACCUGACAGACUAAAGUUGAUUUGAGAGAGAAAGACGUUGAAAACUCAAUCAUCUUGACAUUCUUCAAUGAGUAAUUGUUAAAUUUUUAGGCAAAUACUGUACACUUUGAAUGCUGUGAAUAAAACUAUAUUUUAAAUAUAUUUAAAAUGAAUUGUUUUUGACUGUUUUAAUCAGCUUUUAUUUAUUUGGAAAAAAUUAUUUUGGUUAUGUUACCAGCUAAAGUAAUCUAUUCCCAAAAUAGCACUCUUUAAGUUAACUAAUUAUUAACGCACUUGAAGUAUACUCAUUACUAAUCUAGCUGCAGGUAUGUAAAAGUAUACAAAAUUUAAUGUACUUGGCAUAUUCAUUUUUCACCAGGGCAGUUUUUAGAAUUUUGGAUUGGCCAAAAAUAUAUAGAAUGUAGGCAAACAGUCUAUUUAAGGUAUACUGGUUGUAUGUUUGCAAGACACUCAUAAUACAUUUGUAAUGUACUCCUAACAUAAAUAAAACACACUCUAAAUCCACUUAUCAAGCAUGAAUUUAGCACAAAAACAAUCAUGUACUUAAAUUGUACUAAAUACACUUAAAGUUGUUCCAC